CCUACGGGUGGCUGCAGUGGGGAAUAUUGGACAAUGGGGGGAACCCUGAUCCAGCCAUGCCGCGUGUGUGAAGAAGGCCCUCGGGUUGUAAAGCACUUUCAGUGAGGAAGAACGCCUGGUGGUUAAUACCCAUCAGGAAAGACAUCACUCACAGAAGAAGCACCGGCUAACUCCGUGCCAGCAGCCGCGGUAAUACGGAGGGUGCGAGCGUUAAUCGGAAUUACUGGGCGUAAAGCGCGCGUAGGUGGCUUGAUAAGCCGGUUGUGAAAGCCCCGGGCUCAACCUGGGAACGGCAUCCGGAACUGUCAAGCUAGAGUGCAGGAGAGGAAGGUAGAAUUCCCGGUGUAGCGGUGAAAUGCGUAGAGAUCGGGAGGAAUACCAGUGGCGAAGGCGGCCUUCUGGACUGACACUGACACUGAGGUGCGAAAGCGUGGGUAGCAAACAGGAUUAGAUACCCAGGUAGUC
rnacentral:rRNA from 1 species